rnacentral:lncRNA from 10 species
GCGCGCCUCGCCGAGGACGAAGAGGCUGGCGUGCCCGGUGGCUCGGCUAGCUCCCGGGUCCCGGCCCCGCCUGGAGGAUGCGGCUGUGGGGGAAUGGGAGCGGCCGGACCUCCCAGCCUGACAGUGCAUCAAGAGCUUUGCGGAGCCUACAGCCCGGAUGGGACGACUGAGGCCCUCCCGCUGGCGAGCUGGCCGAGGGCUCGUCCCUCUCCAGCUAAAGCGCCAGCUUACGAUACAGCCAAACUGCCGGCUCUCAUCGGCUGUGGGAGCAGGAGGCCCCCAGGGGUAAAUCCCGGAGCCUCGUCUCUGAAGCCUGGCGCUUGUGUCUCAGAAGGUGGCCAUCAUCGAAUCCACUGAGGGCGCAAAUAGAACAAAAAGGUGAAGAAAAGGUGAAUUCUCUCCUUUCUUGAGCUGGGACAUCCAACUUCUCAGACAUCAGAGCUCCUGGAGGCCUUCAGACUCCGAGACAUUACACCAUUGGCUCACCUGGUCCUCAGGUCUUUGGACUUGGAAUGAAUUACACCAUUGGCUUUCCAGGUCUUCCAGCUUGCAGAUGGCAGAUUGUGGGACUUUUCAGCCUCCAUAACUUUGUCAUCCAAUUCCCAUAAUAAAUCGCCUCUUAUAUCUGUA